ACGGAAGGCAGCAGUGGGGAAUAUUGCACAAUGGGGGAAACCCUGAUGCAGCAACGCCGCGUGAAGGAUGACGGCCUUCGGGUUGUAAACUUCUUUGACAGGGAACGAAGGCAGUGACGGAACCUUGAAAACAAGCCACGGCUAACUACGUGCCAGCAGCCGCGGUAAUACGUAGGUGGCACGCGUUGUCCGGCUUUACUGGGUGUAAAGGGCGCGUAGGCGGGUCUGCAAGUCAGAUGUGAAAUACCGAAGCUUAACUUCGGAGCUGCAUCUGAAACUGUGGAUCUUGAGUACUUGAGAGGAAAGUGGAAUUCCUAGUGUAGCGGUGAAAUGCGUAGAUAUUAGGAGGAACACCGGUGGCGAAGGCGGCUUUCUGGACAGUAACUGACGCUGAGGCGCGAAAGCGUGGGGAGCAAACAGGAUUAGAUACCCUGGUA
rnacentral:rRNA from 1 species